GACCCUGCCUCUAUAAGAAGCGCUGAGUGGCCCCUCAGCUGGUGUCUGCCCUGGAAGCCCUGCUCCUGCACCCAGCCCCAGCCUGGGGGCCCUGCACGCAGCACUGCCUUGCCCCUGCCUCGGGGCCCUGCCCCUGCUGUGCCCUGGGGGCCCUGCACGCAGCCCUGCCCUUCCCCUGCCUGGGGGCCCCACCCCUGCUCUGCACUGGGGGCCCUGCACCCAGCCCCGUCCUGCCUCUGCCUGGGGGCCCUGCCCCCACCCCCACCCCUGCUCUGUCCUGGGGGCCCUGCACCCAGCCCUGCCCUUCCCCUGCCUGGGGGCCUGUCCUGGGGGCCCUGCCCCUGCCCCCACCCACAGCCCCGCUCUGUCCUGGGGGCCCUGCCCCCACCCCCACCCCUGCUCUGUCCUGGGGGCCCUGCACCCAGCCCUGCCCUUCCCCUGCCUGGGGGCCUGUCCUGGGGCCCUGCCCUUGCCCCCACCCACAGCCCCGCUCUGUCCUGGGGGCCCUGCCCCCACCCACAGCCCCGCUCUGUCCUGGGGGCCCUGCACCCAGCCCUGCCCUUCCCCUGCCUGGGGGCCUGUCCUGGGGGCCCUGCCCCUGCCCCCACCCACAGCCCCGCUCUGUCCUGGAGGCCCUGCCCCCACCCCCACCCCUGCUCUGCCCUGGGGACCCUGCACCCAGCCCUGCCCUUCCCCUGCCUGGGGGCCUGUCCUGGGGCCCUGCCCCUGCCCCCACCCACAGCCCCGCUCUGUCCUGGGGGCCCUGCCCCCACCCACAGCCCCGCUCUGUCCUGGGGACCCUGCACCCAGCCCUGCCCUUCCCCUGCCUGGGGGCCUGUCCUGGGGCCCUGCCCCUGCCCCCACCCACAGCCCCGCUCUGUCCUGGGGGCCCUGCCCCCACCCACAGCCCCGCUCUGUCCUGGGGACCCUGCACCCAGCCCUGCCCUUCCCCUGCCUGGGGGCCUGUCCUGGGGGCCCUGCCCCUGCCCCCACCCACAGCCCCGCUCUGUCCUGGAGGCCCUGCCCCCACCCACAGCCCUGCUCUGUCCUGGGGACCCUGCACCCAGCCCUGCCCUUCCCCUGCCUGGGGGCCUGUCCUGGGGCCCUGCCCCUGCCCCCACCCACAGCCCCACUCUGUCCUGGGGGCCCUGCCCCCACCCACAGCCCUGCUCUGUCCUGGGGGCCCUGCCCCUGCCCCCACCCACAGCCCCCCUCUGUCCUGGGGGCCCUACCCCCACCCCCACCCCUGGUCUGUCCUGGGGGCCCUGCACCCAGCCCUGCCCUUCCCCUGCCUGGGGGCCUGUCCUGGGGGCCCUGCCCCUGCCCUCACCCACAGCCCCGCUCUGUCCUGGAGGCCCUGCCCCCACCCACAGCCCCGCUCUGUCCUGGGGACCCUGCACCCAGCCCUGCCCUUCCCCUGCCUGGGGGCCUGUCCUGGGGGCCCUGCCCCUGCCCCCACCCACAGCCCCGCUCUGUCCUGGGGGCCCUGCCCCCACCCACAGCCCCGCUCUGUCCUGGGGACCCUGCACCCAGCCCUGCCCUUCCCCUGCCUGGGGGCCUGUCCUGGGGCCCUGCCCCUGCCCCCACCCACAGCCCCGCUUUGUCCUGGGGGCCCUGCCCCCACCCCCACCCCUGCUCUGUCCUGGAGGCCCUGCCCCCACCCACAGCCCCGCUCUGUCCUGGGGACCCUGCACCCAGCCCUGCCCUUCCCCUGCCUGGGGGCCUGUCCUGGGGCCCUGCCCCUGCCCCCACCCACAGCCCCGCUCUGUCCUGGGGGCCCUGCCCCCACCCACAGCCCCGCUCUGUCCUGGGGACCCUGCACCCAGCCCUGCCCUUCCCCUGCCUGGGGGCCUGUCCUGGGGCCCUGCCCCUGCCCCCACCCACAGCCCCGCUCUGUCCUGGGGACCCUGCACCCAGCCCUGCCCUUCCCCUGCCUGGGGGCCUGUCCUGGGGGCCCUGCCCCUGCCCCCACCCACAGCCCUGCUCUGUCCUGGGGGCCCUGCCCCCACCCACAGCCCUGCUCUGUCCUGGGGACCCUGCACCCAGCCCUGCCCUUCCCCUGCCUGGGGGCCUGUCCUGGGGCCCUGCCCCUGCCCCCACCCACAGCCCCGCUCUGUCCUGGGGACCCUGCACCCAGCCCUGCCCUUCCCCUGCCUGGGGGCCUGUCCUGGGGGCCCUGCCCCUGCCCCCACCCACAGCCCCGCUCUGUCCUGGGGGCCCUGCCCCCACCCACAGCCCCGCUCUGUCCUGGGGACCCUGCACCCAGCCCUGCCCUUCCCCUGCCUGGGGGCCUGUCCUGGGGCCCUGCCCCUGCCCCCACCCACAGCCCCGCUUUGUCCUGGGGGCCCUGCCCCCACCCCCACCCCUGCUCUGUCCUGGAGGCCCUGCCCCCACCCACAGCCCCGCUCUGUCCUGGGGACCCUGCACCCAGCCCUGCCCUUCCCCUGCCUGGGGGCCUGUCCUGGGGCCCUGCCCCUGCCCCCACCCACAGCCCCGCUCUGUCCUGGGGACCCUGCACCCAGCCCUGCCCUUCCCCUGCCUGGGGGCCUGUCCUGGGGCCCUGCCCCUGCCCCCACCCACAGCCCCGCUCUGUCCUGGGGACCUUGCCCCACUGGGGGUCGGGGCGUGUUUAGUCUUCCGGACCCGGCUGGGGGGGGGCGGGGGGGCUGUGUCUCUCCCCCUGCGCCCCGGGCGGGCGUGUAA
rnacentral:lncRNA from 1 species